UACGUAGGGUCCGAGCGUUUGUCCGGAAUUACUGGGCGUAAAGAGCUCGUAGGUGGUUUGUCGCGUUGUUCGUGAAAAACUCACAGCUUAACUGUGGGCGUGCGGGCGAUACGGGCAGACUUGAGUACUGCAGGGGAGACUGGAAUUCCUGGUGUAGCGGUGGAAUGCGCAGAUAUCAGGAAGAACACCGAUGGCGAAGGCAGAUCUCUGGGCCGUAACUGACGCUGAGGAGCGAAAGCAUGGGGGAGCGAACAGG
rnacentral:rRNA from 1 species